AUAGAAAUAAUUCUGCUAUAGUACGCAAAUUAUUUGGAAAACAUGGAAGAAACUAAAAACAACACAAAUACACUUAUACGUGGUGAAAACUGGACCCAGGAAGAAAAGGAUCUGUUCCUCGAAAUAAUGUGGGAGUCCGCACCUAUUGUCGAGAAUAAAUUAACGGAUACUAAUACUAACAGAAGAAAAAAACUGGAAUUGUUGAAUAUCCAAAACAAGUCCCAGAUGAACCUCUUGUCAAUGGAGAUAACAACACUAUACAUAGACGCGACAGCACUUUGAAAGACUUAUAUGAGGAUUUUGAUAUAUUAGAAGAAGGUGAAACUGUUACAGUAAUGCUGAUGUGCACAACAAAGAGGUAUUUAGUACCUACCUACUAAAAUUUGUACUUAUUUCAUAAUGAGUCUUUAUUUGAUCAUCUUCACAACUACUAUUAAUUAAAACAUGAUUAUUGUUACAGUUAAAAAAAACAUUACCUGCAAGACCGCGCUGCUCAACAGCAACCUUGAAAUCAAAAAACAAGCCAUGGAAAUGAUGGUAGAAGAGCACAAACUUAAGAUGAAAUACCACAGGCAAAAGUUAGCCCACCAGGAAUUAAAACAUAGGAUGGAGAUAGGGAAAAUAGAAAUAGAACUAUUAAAAAAAAAAACUUAAAGAAUAACUUUUAUUCAAGCAUCUAUAUUCUAAGUGCAAUUAUUAUUAUGUAAGUUAAUAUAGUAACUAAUUAAAAUGUUGAUUAAUAAA